GCUAGGAAGAGAAACUUCUUCAUAAUGAGCACUAUUGAAACUCCAGCCGGCAGACCUCUGGCUUGGCCCCGCGCCAUGCCCUGGCGUAAGCAUGUAAUCAUCUCAGAAACUGCAGCAGGGCAGAACACAGGCACGCAUCCCAGCUGCCCCUCGACGAGUCCAGCCCCAGAGGCUUCUCACUGCAAUCUGUGCCUCUGCUCCUAAGCUGACCGCGCAUCAGACGAAAUGUGCGCACUUUCCUUUGUAUGACAAGCAGGCUGCAUUCACCACGCUGAGAUAAAAAGUGGAGGAAGGCAGGCCGCCCAGAAAACAAGUGAAUAGCAGCAGCUAAGAUCGCGGAUCUGUGGGAGAAACAGAACCGGCAAAAGG